rnacentral:tRNA from 1 species
GCGAGGGUUGCCGAGCCAGGUCAAAGGCGCUAGGUUGAGGGCCUAGUCUCGUAGGGGUCCGAGCGUUCAAAUCGCUCCCCUCGCA